rnacentral:lncRNA from 1 species
AGAAUUUCUAGCGUGGUUGUGUUUACGACGACAAGCCGAUGCUUGUCUUGGAGUAGGUUAUUUCACUUGAGAAAGGGAGACAAGCUGGAGUAAAUGUUGCUCUCCAUGGGAAGAUGCAGCUUCCAGCUGCAGGAAGGGAAGAGUAAAGACACUUCUUAUUUUCCAAUUUUCCAGUAGGAGUGAAAAAUGCUGCCUGAUAGCUGUGGAGAUUGAAGGUUUCUAGUUGUUCACAGAAUGUGUGUAGCCUGGGUAGUAUUCACUUCCCGCUCUACAGCGUCCCAUUCCUCCCUGGCUUAGCAUGCCGGGUUGAUUCCAUCCCUGAUCUCUUCUCAAAGCCCUUUAUUUCGGGUGUUCUCUGCAAUUGGGGCGAUUACUGCCCAGUGCAGAGGGCAGCAGCUCUGUGAGCAGUGCGAGCCACAAACCCAUCUCGGCCGCACAGAGCGCCCAUCAGCCCUGGCACUGUCAGGGUAUGGGGGACGGGGGGCAUCUGUGUGUCAUGUGUGGGGUGACGGGCACUAUUGCUGUCCUCACAGCCACAGGUCCAGAAGGGGAGGGCACCGUGGCUGCACUCAGGGCCUGACACUCCUGCCAGAAUCCCAGAAGGUGAAAAGCGUUUGCACUGUUCAUCUUCUUACUGUCACUUUGGAGGUUACCUUCAUUUCUUGACACAGAUCCAUACUGUAUUUUUGCAGAGAUACAGUUUUCUCCCGGUUGCCCUUUUUCCUCUCUUUGUAAUCCCUGGUUGGCAGUGAGAGUGGUCUGACAGAUCUCUGUGACUGAUAAGAGAAAUGAUUGCCUAAGUGAGAAUUGUUUCUGGAGCACAUUCCUCCCCUUGGGUUAAAUAUAGGUUGCGGCAUCCCAGCAUAAUGAAAAGAUCGGGAAGCAUUUACACGCUGCUAUAGUUGAUGCCUUGUAAUAAUUGAGUAAAACAUUCACAAUUGUGAAAAUCACACCUGUAAAGAUGAGCUUAGUCACUUUCCUGUUAAUGAGUCUGUAUUUUCAGUCAGCCUCUCCCUUACCGCAUUCAGCACAUGCACUAAAACAUAUCCCAGCUCAACCCAAUCCUUCAGCCUUUGUGUUUUAUCGCCUUGUGAUUUGCUGUUGGCUGCAGCAGCCUGGUUUAUUACCAUACCGUGUGCACUGCAGUACUCGCAUAGCAUUGUGCUGCAGGAUUG